rnacentral:lncRNA from 1 species
UAGAUUCCUUCGAAGGGGACUUCUUUUUUUUAGACCAGAGUGCACUGCAUAUUAUUUUAUUGUUCUUUACUGCAUAUGGCAACCCAGCAAACUGCAUCAAAAAAUAAUGCAUCCGAACACAAAAAGAACCGUACACCCAAACAAUACUUUUUUUAUCACAACAGCUGCCCACGAUCGCUGCCUGACAGCAUGCACGUCUGUAUCAAACUGAAUUUUUGUUCACAAGUAGAGUAGAAGUGUUAGUUUCCCUGUAGGACACUUGGCAACAGCCAACUGCAGUCCACUUAUCUCUUUUCUUAAAAGAAAAACACAAUCAUGCAUGUGGAUUUCUUUCUGGGCUGCAUGCGCAGGUGGACAGAACUGCAUCACUGCCUGCUGGGCUCUCAUCGCCGGUGGAUGCUCUUCUUUGACGCUCUUUUCCUCUCCUGCAAAAAGAUAGCAAACUGAGCCGCGAGACAGGGAAUAGCAAACUCCAGUGCACUGUAUUUUUUCCUCCGAAAAUCAAAUGAGCGAACUACAAACAACAAACCUCACCUCUCCCAUGUUUGCCUUUAAUUGUAAAAGUAUGAG